rnacentral:rRNA from 1 species
AGUGAACGCUGGCGGUAGGCCUAACACAUGCAAGUCGAACGGCAGCACAGUAAGAGCUUGCUCUUACGGGUGGCGAGUGGCGGACGGGUGAGGAAUACAUCGGAAUCUACUUUUUCGUGGGGGAUAACGUAGGGAAACUUACGCUAAUACCGCAUACGACCUACGGGUGAAAGCAGUGGAUCUUCGCACCUUGCGCGAUUGAAUGAGCCGAUGUCGGAUUAGCUAGUUGGCGGGGUAAAGGCCCACCAAGGCGACGAUCCGUAGCUGGUCUGAGAGGAUGAUCAGCCACACUGGAACUGAGACACGGUCCAGACUCCUACGGGAGGCAGCAGUGGGGAAUAUUGGACAAUGGGCGAAAGCCUGAUCCAGCCAUACCGCGUGGGUGAAGAAGGCCUUCGGGUUGUAAAGCCCUUUUGUUAGGAAAGAAAAGCAGCAGGUGAAUACCCCGCUGUUCUGACGGUACCCAAAGAAUAAGCACCGGCUAACUUCGUG